rnacentral:ncRNA from 3 species
GACAUGUCAGCGGGAGAGACCGAGUCGCACAAUCGUGCGCCCGGCGCCGAAGGAGCAACUGCCCCGGAAACUCUCAGGCAAAAGGACCGCUGACAUGAA